GAUGAAGAACGUAGCGAAAUGCGAUAAGUAGUGUGAAUUGCAGAAUUCAGUGAAUCAUCGAAUCUUUGAACGCACAUUGCGCCCCUUGGUAUUCCAUGGGGCAUGCCUGUUCGAGCGUCAUUUGUACCUUCAAGCUCUGCUUGGUGUUGGGUGUUUGUCUCGCCUCUGCGUGUAGACUCGCCUCAAAACAAUUGGCAGCCGGCGUAUUGAUUUCGGAGCGCAGUACAUCUCGCGCUUUGCACUCAUAACGACGACGUCCAAAGUACAUUUUUACACUCUUGACCUCGGAUCAGGUAGGGAUACCCGCUGAACUUAAGCAUAUCAAUAAGCGGAGGA
rnacentral:misc_RNA from 1 species